AGAGUUUGAUCCUGGCUCAGGAUGAUCAAACUCUAGCGGCAGGCCUAACACAUGCAAGUCGAGGGGUAACAGGGGAUUUCGGUUCCGCUGACGACCGGCGCACGGGUGAGUAACGCGUAUACAACCUACCCAUAUCAGGGAGAUAGCCCGGAGAAAUCCGGAUUAAUACCCCAUAAUAUUUACGAGAGGCAUCUCUUGUAUCUUAAACCUUCUGGGGAUAUGGAUGGGUAUGCGUGCCAUUAGUUAGAUGGUGAGGUAACGGCUCACCAUGACGAUGAUGGCUACGGGGUCUUAAAGGAUGGUCCCGCACACUGGUACUGAGACACGGACCAGACUCCUACGGGAGGCAGCAGUGAGGAAUAUUGGUCAAUGGAGGCAACUCUGAACCAGCCAUGCCGCGUGAAGGAAGACUGCCCUAUGGGUUGUAAACUUCUUUUUUACGGGAAGAACACGUUUCGUUUUGGAAACACUGACGGUACCGUACGAAUAAGGAUCGGCUAACUCCGUGCCAGCAGCCGCGGUAAUACGGAGGAUCCAAGCGUUAUCCGGAUUUAUUAGGUUUAAAGGGUGCGCAGGCGGGAAGAUAAGUCAGCGGUGAAAUCCUGUAGCUCAACUACAGAACUGCCGUUGAUACUGUUUUUCUUGAGUUCGGUUGAGGUAAGCGGAAUGUGACAUGUAGCGGUGAAAUGCUUAGAUAUGUCAUAGAACACCGAUUGCGAAGGCAGCUCACUAAAGUAGUAUUGACGCUCAGGCACGAAAGCGUGGGGAGCGAACAGGAUUAGAUACCCUGGUAGUCCACGCUGUAAACGAUGAUCACUCGUUAUUGGCGAUACACUGUCAGUGACUAAGCGAAAGUGUUAAGUGAUCCACCUGGGGAGUACGAUCGCAAGGUUGAAACUCAAAGGAAUUGACGGGGGCCCGCACAAGCGGUGGAGCAUGUGGUUUAAUUCGAUGAUACGCGAGGAACCUUACCAGGGCUUAAAUGUAGAGUGACCGCUCCCGAAAAGGAGCUUUCUUCGGACAAUUUACAAGGUGCUGCAUGGUUGUCGUCAGCUCGUGCCGUGAGGUGUUGGGUUAAGUCCCGCAACGAGCGCAACCCCUAUCUUUAGUUGCUAGCAGGUAAUGCUGAGGACUCUAAAGAAACUGCCGGUGCAAACCGUGAGGAAGGUGGGGACGACGUCAAAUCAUCACGGCCCUUACGCCCUGGGCUACACACGUGCUACAAUGGUCGGU
rnacentral:rRNA from 1 species